CCUACGGGAGGCAGCAGUGGGGAAUAUUGGACAAUGGGCGAAAGCCUGAUCCAGCCAUGCCGCGUGUGUGAAGAAGGCCUUCGGGUUGUAAAGCACUUUCAGUGGGGAAGAAAGCCUUGGGGCUAAUACCCUCGAGGGAGGACAUCACCCACAGAAGAAGCACCGGCUAACUCCGUGCCAGCAGCCGCGGUAAUACGGAGGGUGCGAGCGUUAAUCGGAAUUACUGGGCGUAAAGCGCGCGUAGGCGGUCUGAUAAGCCGGUUGUGAAAGCCCCGGGCUCAACCUGGGAACGGCAUCCGGAACUGUCAGGCUAGAGUGCAGGAGAGGAAGGUAGAAUUCCCGGUGUAGCGGUGAAAUGCGUAGAGAUCGGGAGGAAUACCAGUGGCGAAGGCGGCCUUCUGGACUGACACUGACGCUGAGGUGCGAAAGCGUGGGUAGCAAACAGGAUUAGAUACCCUAGUAGUC
rnacentral:rRNA from 1 species